AAUGAUUUCUUCUUCCUAAAUUUCUUCUUCCUAAUUUGAGAUUUAUAGAAGAUUUUGUUGGAGCUUUCUAUUUCAAUCGAUUCAUAAAUUGGUUUGAUUUAAUGGCCUUCAGAGGGCGGGGGCGGGGGCGGGGAGGAUUUAAUGGCCAACGGCUGGCUAAGCAAGUCUCAUUUGAACUUUUCCCUGAACUUGAGAACUUGGGUAAUGCAGCUGGUGUCACGGAAAAGAUAAAUUUGGCAAUUUGGCAGGCAAGUUUACAGAAGUUCUGGAACUCCUCUCCUUAUUAUUUGGCAGAUGAAAGUGAUGUUUCGAAGAAAACGAAAAUGGAUAUAGAAAGAUUCUCGGAUAAGAAGUCAGAGAGGGACAAGGCAAAGCCACCAUUGGACAAAUUCAUAAGAAUGGAGCCUGAUUAUGUUCCUGCAGAACUAGCUGAAGGUGGAAGGAAGAGGAGAGAUAACACAGACGGAAUGCGUUGGACCCCAGAUUUAGACAUGGGAAAAUUGGAUCUUUUGGAAAAGCUUGAUCAAAAGUCUAAGGGCGAUGAUGAAAAGAAAAAAGAUGGUGAAGACGAGGACGAAGAUCCAGAGGAGAAAGUUGGAGAGGAAGAAGAAGAAUUUAGCGAUGAUGGAGAUUACAAUCAGAAUCUUUAUGAUUACGAUGACGAUGAAGACGACUACAACAUGAAUGAAGAUAAUAAUGAUGAUGCCAUGUAUUGAGGGUUGCUUGGUGGAGUGAUUUUUGCUUACUGGUAUUCCGUGAAAUCAGUCGAGAGAAAAUCUAUCACCAGAACAAGCACAGCCUUUUUCUAAGACAAAGACGCAACAUAAGCCACAUUCUCAACCGCCGCAACGAACACAUCCAG